AACGAACGCUGGCGGCAUGCCUAACACAUGCAAGUCGAACGAGACCUUCGGGUCUAGUGGCGCACGGGUGCGUAACGCGUGGGAACCUGCCUUUAGGUUCGGAAUAACUCAGAGAAAUUUGAGCUAAUACCGGAUAAUGUCUUCGGACCAAAGAUUUAUCGCCUUUAGAUGGGGCCCGCGUUGGAUUAGCUAGUUGGUGGGGUAAAGGCCUACCAAGGCGACGAUCCAUAGCUGGUCUGAGAGGAUGAUCAGCCACACUGGGACUGAGACACGGCCCAGACUCCUACGGGAGGCAGCAGUGGGGAAUAUUGGACAAUGGGCGAAAGCCUGAUCCAGCAAUGCCGCGUGAGUGAUGAACGGCCUUAGGGUUGUAAAGCUCUUUACCCGAGAUGAU
rnacentral:rRNA from 1 species